rnacentral:misc_RNA from 1 species
AUGCGAUAAGUAAUGUGAAUUGCAGAAUUCAGUGAAUCAUCGAAUCUUUGAACGCACAUUGCGCCCCUUGGUAUUCCGGGGGGCAUGCCUGUUCGAGCGUCAUUAUCACCCCUCAAGCUCAGCUUGGUGUUGGGGCCUGCCCGUCACAGGGCAGCCCUUAAAAGCAGUGGCGGUGCCAUCUGGCUCUACGCGUAGUAAUACUUUUCGCGACAGAGUCCCGGUGGUGUCUAGCCAGAACCCCCCAUAUUUUAAUGAAUUGACCUCGGAUCAGGUAGGGAUACCCGCUGAACUUAA